rnacentral:lncRNA from 1 species
AUCAACUCCAAGAAGGAAUUCAGCUACAAGAAGGAGUUGGACUUCAAGAAGGAAGUCAAUUUCAAGAAGAAGGUAGGUUCAAGGAAGAAAGUCAGCCUCAGGAAUCACCUUCAGCUCAAGUCAUCAUCUUGACCUGCCUCUUGGAAGGAACUUGGAUUGCCUACCUCAGACGUGUGUAGCAGAUGUGGAGAGGAGACACAGAGCCCAGAGAAGGCGGAAGGUAAUAAGAAUUGUUUACCAAGCGACCCUUUGGAGGAGCUGCUCGAGGAGGACCACAAAGUCAUAAAUCCUCUUGACAAAGCUCCAAAGCAUAUACAGUUCACCAAAGCCUAUUUUCCUGAUAACCAGAGAAAUCCUGCUGUUGUUUGUUCAUUCCACCAAUGAAAUACUCUUUAAUUUAUUUUAUUAUUAUAGAUGAUGCACCAGAAAAUAAUCCUGUAUAAGGCAGAUGCCCAAAGUAACCUUGGUGUUCAGAGGUCAGUGAGACAAAGUUAGUAAGAAAUUAUUAAAGCCUUAUUCUCACUGAUUAAAAGGCCAUUUGAAUGUUUUCUGAAGAUGUAGUUAAUGGGCCAAGCCAAAGCUUACUGAAUAAAGUAGCUAAUGUAACUAUUUAUUUGUUGUUG